rnacentral:tRNA from 1 species
ACGAAUAUGCUGAAAUUGGUAGCCAGGUGAAAUUUAGGAUUUCAUAAUUAUUUAUUAUUAGGAGUUCAAGUCUCUUUAUUCGUA